rnacentral:rRNA from 1 species
GACGAACGCUGGCGGCGUGCUUAACACAUGCAAGUCGAACAGUGGCGAACGGGUGAGUAACACGUGAGUAACCUGCCCUCCACUUUGGGAUAACUCCGAGAAAUCGGGGCUAAUACUGGAUAGUGGGGGAUGGGCGGAGGGCGGAUCAGUUUGUUGGUGAGGUAGUGGUAACCAAGGCGUGACGGGUAGACGGCCAGAGAGGGCUACCGGCCAAACAGGGACGGAGACACGGCCCAGACACGUACGGGAGGAAGCAGUAGGAAAUAUGGAACAAUGGGCGAACGCCUGAUGCAGCGAGGCGGCGUGGGGGAGGACGGCCAUCGUGUUGGUAACCUAUUACAGCAAGGAAUCGGUACUUGCAGAAGAAGCGCCGGCUAACUACGUGCCAGCCGCCGCGGUAAUAC